rnacentral:rRNA from 1 species
CUUAGUGGCGAAGCUAACGCGUUAAGUUGUCCGCCUGGGGAGUACGGCCGCAAGGUUAAAACUCAAAGGAAUUGACGGGGACCCGCACAAGCGGUGGAGCAUGUGGUUUAAUUCGAUGCAACGCGAAGAACCUUACCUGGUCUUGACAUACACGGAACUUUCCAGAGAUGGAUUGGUGCCUUCGGGAACCGUGAUACAGGUGCUGCAUGGCUGUCGUCAGCUCGUGUCGUGAGAUGUUGGGUUAAGUCCCGUAACGAGCGCAACCCUUAUCUUUAUUUGCCAGCACAUCAUGGUGGGAACUAUAAAGAGACUGCCGGUGAUAAACCGGAGGAAGGCGGGGACGACGUCAAGUCAUCAUGGCCCUUACGACCAGGGCUACACACGUGCUACAAUGGGAAGGACAAAGGGUCGCAACCUCGCGAGAGCAAGCUAAUCUCAUAAACCUUUUCGUAGUCCGGAUCGGAGUCUGCAACUCGACUCCGUGAAGUCGGAAUCGCUAGUAAUCGUGGAUCAGAACGCCACGGUGAAUACGUUCCCGGGUCUUGUACACACCGCCCGUCAUACCAUGGGAGUGGGUUGCAAAAGAAGUGGGUAGCUUAUCUGGGCGCUCACCACUUUGUGAUUCAUGACUGGGGUAAAGUCGUAACAAGGUAACCCUAGCGGAAGCUGGGGUUGGAUCACCUCCUUAAGAAAAGUAUGAGUGUCCACAACAAGUUGUUUGAUAACUAUAAAGAAGAAUGAAAGAAUUGCAUAACUGCCAAUUAUUGGUAGUUAAUUACGCAGGAUAUUUUUGUUUUAAGUAAGGUAUUAUUUUGAAGGAAGGAAUGUA